UUUUUUAUUUAUUUAUGAUAGUCAUACAGAGAGAGAGAGAGAGAGGCAGAGACACAGGCAGAGGGAGAAGCAGGCUCCAUGCACCGGGAGCCCGACGUGGGAUUCGAUCCCGGGUCUCCAGGAUCGCGCCCUGGGCCAAGGCAGGCGCCAAACUGCUGCGCCACCCAGGGAUCCCCCCUCAUUGUAUUUCAAAAUAAAAAUGCAGCACAGAAAUACAUAGCAAAAAUGAGAAUGCAGACCUAUAUUUAGUCAUAUAUUAGUUCUGUAUUUUGUUGAGUGAAACACCAGGGUACCAAAUUUGAAAUGUUGUUCUGAUCUCAUGUUUGACAAAACAUGUAUUAUUAGUAAAAGCUACCAUUUAUUUAGCACCUGUUCUGUUUUGGGCACUGUGCUAAGUGAUUUACAUAUAUUGUCUUGUUUUAUCUGGACAUAAAUAAUAAUAUGUAUUUUAAUAAAUAAUACACCAUUUAUCCUCAUUUUAUAGAUGUGAAAACUGAGGCUUAGGUUAAGUAAGUUAUUCAAGGUCACAUGGCCAAAAUGUGAGAGAGCUGGGAAGCUGUUGAUUCCAACAGUACUAUGCAUAUUGAUCUACUGCUCCUAAAAGACAGAGGCCAAGAUAUAUAAAAAUGUUAGUAAUUGGGGUGUCUGGGUGGUUCAGUGGGUUAAGCAUCUGCCUUUGGCUCAGGUCAUGAUCUUAGGGUCCUGGCAUUGAGUCUGCAUCAGGCUCCUUGCUCAGCAGGGGGUCUGCUUCUCCCUCUCUCUCUCUGUCCCUCCCCCUGCUUGUGUGCUUGCUCUCUCUCUGUCUCUCUCAAACAAAUAAAUAAAAUCUUUCUAAAAAAUGGUAGUAAUUGUUAUCCAUGGGUGUGGAAUUUUUUUUUUCUUUUAGCUUAUUCGUAUUUUCUAAUUUUCUUCAGUGAGCUUAUUUGCAUCAUAAAUGAAGGGGGAGAAAGAAAUUGAACCAUAAACAACUUCCUCUUUGCCAAAACAAAAGGAGAUAGGGCAGAAAGGAAAGAAGGGAAGGUAAGAAGAAAGUAAGAUAAAAGAGAGGAAGAGAAAGGGGAGGGAAAGGAAGGUGGGAGAGGGAGUGAAGGAAGGAAGGAAAGAGGAGGGAUGAGAGGGAAGGAUGUCUUCCUAAGGUGGCUGUGAGGGGACGCGUGUCCACAGCUCUGUACCGCCUCAUUUUGGGUUGGGCCUGGCAUUGAAUGCAGUCCAGCAGAGAGGGCAGGAGCAGAGGAAACUGUCCUUCAGAACACAAGAGUUGGGCAGGGGACCCGCAGGCGUUUAGAACACCGUGGAAGGUGGAAGGUUGGGUAUUGCAGUAUGAAGUGAAUUGUAAUUGAUAUUGAGAUUCUAUCUUCUGAAAAGUGUAGUUGUAGCAGAAGACUACUAGCUCCCCAACACUCGCCCCGUUCAAGUGUCAAGGUGUAUCUUGGGCGCCGGCAGUGGAAAGGGACAGUGCGGAUUAGCAGCUGGAGUGGCAGUUAUGUGGGAGAACACAAACAACGUGAGGGCAGCAAUGGGACAUGGGAGGGUGACCAUACAAUUUACUUUCUCAAUUAAAAGUGUUCUUAUUAAUCAUUAGCUGGGACAGGGCACAUAAAUUAGACCUGUCCCUGACAAACUGGGAAGUUUGAUCAUCUUAGAGAGGCCAGAUAAAUCAGAAGAAUCCAGAAACUACAAAAACCAGAUAAAGGACAUGAAUAUGAAAAGCAAAGACAAACGUUUUUGCAAGGCCAGCCUCAUUAGUAACCAAAGAGAUUAAAAUUACAACAACAAGAAUGUUUCCUUUCACUUUUCAAAAUGGCAAAAAUCAUUUUAAAAAAUAACAGAGCUACUAUUUAUUGAACUCCUGUAUAUGCAGGUACUUUCUAUACCUUCUUCCUAAUUUAAUAAAGUUUUUUAUUUUAAAAUAAGUUUAUGUUUAUUGAAAAGUUGCAAGACUAUUACAGAGAGUUCUUAUAUACCCUAUAUACUCUGUUUCCUUUUACAUUACUGUGGAACAUUUGUCACAACUAAUGAACCCAUAACAUUAUUUUUAACUGAAGUCCAUACUUUAUUUGGGUUUCCUUAAUUUUUAUCUAAUGUUCUUUUCCCAUUCAUGCUGUCACAUUACAUUUAGUCGUCAUGUCUCCUUAGUGUCUCACACUUCAUUGUUUUUGAUGACCUUGACAAUUUUGAGUACUGAUCAGUAUUUUGUAGACUGUUCUUCAAUUUGGGUUUGUCUAAUGUUUUUCCUUAUGGUUAGCUAUGGGUUUUGUGAAGAAGACCACAGAAGUAAAGUACUAUUCUCAUCACCUCAUAUCCAGGAUACGUACUAUCAACAUGGCUCAUCACUGUUGAUGUCAGCUCUGGUCAGCUGGUAGUAUUGUCAGAUUUCUCCACUGUAAAUAACUCUUUUCCUCCCCUUCCCAUACUAUACUAUUUGGAAGGAAGUUACUAUGUAGCCCACACUGAAGGAGUGGGGAGUUAUGUUCCACCUCCUUGAGGGUGGUGUAUCUACAUAAUUCUUUCAAAUUCUGCACAGAGAGGUGUCUCUUCUUCCUCAUUUAAUUAUUUAUAUUAGCAUGGAUUUAUGGAUGUUUAUGUUAUACUUUGGGUUGUAAUCCAAUAUUAUGUCAUUUAUUUUGUCAGUCAAAUUGUCCUAACUUCCUUUCAGGUUGGCCCCUGUGAGUUCCCAGGCAGGCCCCCAGCAUUUGUUUUUUGAGCACUUCCCUACUUUCUGGGACUGUUAAAAUGCUCCAUGCCCAUCUUUUUUUUUUUUUUUCUUAAGAUGUUAUUUAUUUAUUCAUGAGAGACACACAGAGAGAGGCAGAGACACAGGCAGAGGGAGAAGCAGGCUCCCCAGAGGGAGCCUGAUGCAGAACUCGAUCCCAGGACCCUGGGAUCAUGCCCUGAGCCAAAGGCAGACACUCAACCACUGAGCUACCCAGGCAUCCCGCUCCAUGCCCAUCUUAUAUAUUUAAUGCCCCAGUCCCAGAAUUAGCCAUUUUCUCAAGAAGCUCUGGUUCCUUUUCCUAGAGAAUGGUUUUAGAUACCAAGAUCUGGGCCCUAGCUGUGCUUAUUGCUACUGGGUGUUGUUACUUCUAGGCACUCUUAGGGUAUAGUGCUGUGAACUAGUAUGUGUUUAUACUACCACACAUGUACCUGUAUAUCGAUAUUAUUUCUCUGUCUGUAUCCAUCUGUGUCUAUAUUAAGCUAAACAUGGGCUCAUACUUCUGGCUGAUUCUCAUCCAGUACUGCAUGGUUCAUUCUAGCUUCUCACUUUGCUUAGCUGAAACCUGUCGUUCCAACAGUGAGAGACUUCCACCACCCACCAUACAUUUCCUCAUGCUCAGUUUUGGUGAGAGUGCUAGAAAAUUGACACUGUUGGUGCUAUUGGUGUGAGUGUUGGUACAGCCUUUGUGGAAGGCACUUAGGUAGACUAUGUCAAAAACCUUAAAGGUAUCAGCUGGUCAAAGGUUGGAGCAUCAGUUUAGUCUCCAAGGCAGGGAAGGUAGGAGCAGAGUCCCCAGGUGAGAGGAGGGUAGCAGCACUGAGAGGCAGAACACAGACUCAAAUUAGCAGCCCUCAUUACCCCCUGCAGACGAUUGAGAGCCAACGUUUCCCAUCAACCCUCACCUGCAGACCUGUAGCUGAUGGUAAUAGGGAAGCAAAACAUUUGAUGGGUGAGUGCUGCAAAUUCAAUUCUUCAUUAGACAUGUUUUCUUGAUGUUUUUAAAAGGGAUUUGUUCAUGGUUUACCUCUGAGAACAGAUGACUGAUAAUCGUUGGGAAUCCAUUAUUAUUUGAAAUUUAAAAACCAAAGAUAUACUCCUAUUCAUGGAGAGUUUACAAUCUAAAUUGUGAGGUUUUUAUUUAUUUAUUUAUUUUAAGAGGGAGAGAGAGGGAAGGGUGGGACAGAGGGAGAGGGAAAGAGAGAAUCUUAAGCAGGCUCUAUGCCCAAUGCAGACCCCGACAUGGGGCUCGAUCUCACCACCCUGAGAUCAGGACCUGAGCAUUGGAUAUAAAGAGUUGGAUGCUUAACCAACUGAGCCACCCGGGCACCUUGAUAUUGUGAGAUUUAUGCCCGUAAAUGAUCAACCUGAAAAACAACUCAGGCAUUUUUUGUUAAAAACAAACAAACAAACAAAAUACCUGGGACAAACAGCCAAAUAUUCCACUCUGGUUACUGAGCCCUUCCAGGUGCCGUGUGUUGUCACAGCAUCUGCACUGGUCACCUCUGAAGCUGCUGCUUCCUCACAGUACACGUGUGGUAUGUGACACAAACAUAGGAGCUGGAGUAGAGAAUUCCAUAGACUUUUUUCAAAGUAUCAACUACAAAGGGACAGAAGUCUGUUGAAGUAAGAGAGAGAAGAGUACCUAAUUCCUAACAAGAAAUAAUAAUUGUAAACUAUCAUUGUUUAUCUGAGAAGGGAUUAGUGAGGAUUCACGUAUCAAAAUGAACUCCCCCAAGUUUCUCUCUGCUCUUAAUUUGAUAGGUAUGUUGCUAAGACUUUGAAGGAAUUGCUGUGAUAGUUCAAUUCUUUGGUGCUAGGGAGAAUCUGGGGGAGGAGAGGCCAUCCAGGUGAGCUGGAGGGAAGAGGAGGAAAGAGUAUUUACUACUUCUUCCAGGUGGUUUGGGGAAGAUAAGUCAAAUUUGGAGAAAACUAUAAAAAAAUUUAAUUAAGUUGUGGCUACAUCUGAAGAACAGGAUUUCCCUUCAAAGCAGGAAUUGUGGGAGAUGUUCAAGUUGGCUGGCUGUGUAUUCUAACAACAAUCAUACUAAUUGUAAUUAUUUGUAGGUUAUAAACAACUGAAAGGGCGUCUGAAAGCCAAGUUUUAGAUAAAGUAGAACAAUUGAGAGAGGAAAUAGAACUCUGAGGUGUAGAAGGCAUUCUGCAAAAUCCCCAGGUGUAGUCAAAGUGUCACCAUCCAGUCAUGGUUUGUGUUUGGAAGGAGAACAAUAGGGCAACAAAAGUCAAAAGAUAUUGAAUUGGCAUUUAAAAAAAUGAAGUGCAUUGUUUUCCAAAAAGUUCCCUUGUUUGCCUGUGUGUUGCAAAGAAGUUACCAUUCAUUCAUGAUUCUCUGCACGCCUCCAUACCUCCCAGAGAUUUGGUUAAAACCCCCAUCACUCCCUGGAUUCCCAUAUAACACUCUCCACUGAUGCCUGCACCAAGGUAUAUUACUAGGAGUGGUGUUGUGCAGGCUAACUGAAGUUGGGAAGCCCUCUGGCACAGACAAGGCUAAUCAUUUAAAGAAAAGGGCAAGCGGGGGCAGCCUGGGUGGCUCAGCGGUUUGGUGCCUGCCUUGGGCCCAGGGCGUGAUCCUGGAGUCCCAGGAUCGAGUCCCACGUCGGGCUCCCUGCAUGGAGCCUGCUUCUCCCUCUGCCUGUGUCUCUGCCUCUCUCUGUGUCUAUCAUAAAUAGAUAAAUUAAAAAAAAAAAAGAAAAGAAAAGGGCAAGGGGCUUGUUGUUGAGCCACGGGCAUCUUGAACAGUUAUUCUAGCUUAAACCUGUAUCAGUCAUGUAUGACAACAGGUGGGUGGUCCCUUUAUGGGUCCAUGUUACUGGAAAGAACUAAGGGAACUGUGAUGAUUUCAUCCUGCAGGGAAGGUGAAAUGGGCAUCUUAGAGAGCCUUGGACUAGUGUCUGAGAGGGUUGGUGAUUCUCUGUAGAGUUCAUCAGUGUCCUCCCAACCACGGCCCUUUGAACUAAGGCUUGGGUUGUCUGUACAAGGGAAAUGAGGCAAGCACAAGGAAAGAACAGCAGAAGUUAGGAGAUUUGAGAUAUAAGAUGACAAGCAUCAGCCUUGAUGGUGCUCAUUUUUGGUGAUGGGAAAUGGAACUCUAGACCCUAUAGCAGGGACCUCAAUAUUGAGGGUAGGAGACUAGUGGCCAUUGGUUGUUGAACUAUCACUUAUAUGCAAUGCACAAGACAUCAUCACACAGAACUAGAUCAGGGUAGGACAAAGAAGGACCAUGAUGUGCCAUGGUGUCAAGAAGAUUGGUUAUAGGGCACACAUAGAUCCUUGGGGCCACACAGACCUUGUUGGUAGUAAUGUAAAGGAGAGAGAGCCAGAGUUGCAUGGAUAAGGCUAGAGCCCAAUUGAUGCUCUUACUUGAUUAGAAAUUCCAUUUUUAUACCACCCUGACACUCUCCAUCCUGUAAUCAGCUGGUAAAAAGGAUGACUUGAGAAACAGAUUUCAUUCUUUUUAUUCUUUGAAAAGGGUAGAAGGGAGAGAGGAAAGCUCCUACAGCUUUAAAUGUCUUCAGCACUCGUGGCAAUCUUAUAUCACCUGGGAUGUAUUUUUUUGUCCUCCCUUCUAGAGUCGAAGUUCAUGGAGGGGACUAUAUUUUUAUCUUUAUAUCCUCCACAUGUGCUAAAACAGCAGAAACAAAGCACGUGCUCAGCAAGUGCUUGUGAAUGAAUGGAAGAUAUAUAACCUAAAGCAGGCACUGUGUUAGGUGCUUUAUUCAGGUUGAAUUUUAAUCUCUAGUGAAAUUGUUUUUGUACAGAAGGGGGGGAUACCUGGACAGCUUUUCAAAAUUUGCCCUUCACAACCACAGAGCUGGAGUUUAGAGACCCAUCAGCCUAGGACUGCACACAGUGUGAUCGGCGGAUCGAUCCUGGGAUGAUGUGGUCGGUCAUCGGUUUGUGGUAAGUACAGAGACGGAAAGUAUUUAGAACCUUUUAUGGUAUUUGACAUUGCAGAAACAUCUAGUCCUGUGAUCAUUUUUCUAGUACUUCAUAUUUGUGACAGUAUUACAAUAGUGGUUUACGAGGGAUUGGGAAUGAAAGAGACAAAAAGGUCUGUCUUCUUUCCCACCUCAAAGUACACAUUUAUAGUUUGGUUCUCCACCUUUUCAGAGAGGCAUCGUGGCAUAAAGACAGGCCCAUCAUGGCAUAAAGAAGGCUACCGAAGUGGGAAUCUGGUUCUUCUGUGUUCUAGAUGUUACUUAAUCUCUGUUUCUUGGUUUCCUCUGCUGUAAAAAUGGGUUACGAUGA
rnacentral:lncRNA from 1 species